rnacentral:rRNA from 1 species
AGAGUUUGAUCCUGGCUCAGAACGAACGCUGGCGGCAUGCCUAACACAUGCAAGUCGAACGAACCCUUCGGGGUUAGUGGCGCACGGGUGCGUAACGCGUAGGAAUCUGCCCUUAGGUACGGAAUAACAGUGAGAAAUUACUGCUAAUACCGUAUGAUGUCUUCGGACCAAAGAUUUAUCGCCUAGGGAUGAGCCCGCGUAGGAUUAGCUAGUUGGUGAGGUAAAGGCUCACCAAGGCUACGAUCCUUAGCUGGUCUGAGAGGAUGAUCAGCCACACUGGGACUGAGACACGGCCCAGACUCCUACGGGAGGCAGCAGUGGGGAAUAUUGGACAAUGGGCGAAAGCCUGAUCCAGCAAUGCCGCGUGAGUGAAGAAGGCCUUCGGGUUGUAAAGCUCUUUUACCCGGGAAGAUAAUGACCGUACCGGGAGAAUAAGCCCCGGCUAACUCCGUGCCAGCAGCCGCGGUAAUACGGAGGGGGCUAGCGUUGUUCGGAAUCACUGGGCGUAAAGCGUGCGUAGGCGGCCAUUCAAGUCAGAGGUGAAAGCCCAGGG